rnacentral:rRNA from 1 species
UACGUAGGGUGCGAGCGUUGUCCGGAAUUAUUGGGCGUAAAGGGCUCGUAGGCGGUCUGUCACGUCGGGAGUGAAAACACGGGGCUUAACCCCGUGCCUGCUUCCGAUACGGGCAGACUAGAGGUAUGCAGGGGAGAACGGAAUUCCUGGUGUAGCGGUGAAAUGCGCAGAUAUCAGGAGGAACACCGGUGGCGAAGGCGGAUCUCUGGGCCAUUACUGACGCUGAGGAGCGUAAGCGUGGGGAGCGAACAGG